CUUUAUAAUCAAACUGUUGGUGCUCACAGCUGCGUUCAGCACGCUGUAGUUCAACGGGAAUCAGGAGGGUAUGUGCCCACAAGCACGCACCUAACCUGAGCUGCCCCCGCAACGGUAAGCGCAGGCCUGGUCUUUCACCCCGAGUGUGAGCCCAAGCCCCAGUUUGUCAAAGCCACUGAGUUGUUCCAACUUGGGAAGGCGACAAACCAACUGCGUCAGCCCGGAUACCGGCCAAUUAGCUUGUGUGCGC
rnacentral:ncRNA from 2 species